rnacentral:lncRNA from 1 species
CACUGCGCGCUCCUCCACGUCCAUGGGUGCGAGCCGCCACCAGGCUGCUCCACGCAGGCACGCUCCUCACCGGGGCUGCUCGUGCCGCGUCGUGGUUCUCCACGCGAGGCUGAGUGGCCGUGCCACGCCUGUCCCGUGGCCCUGCUCGUGUGCGCCCGCGUGAGGCCGGAAGGCCGCGCCGCCACAGAGGCUCCUCGAGCCGUACACGCUGAGCGCCUCUGGGCCCGCGUCACAUGCGCCCGUAGACAUGCCGCGUCUGCUGUGCCUCUGGGGCCGAGCCGCACCCGGGCAUCUCACGCUCGUUGCUUCGGGCGGUCACCGCCUGGGCGAGCGCUCGCGAUCUCCGAGUUCCUCCGUGCCGCGCGCGGGGUCGAGCCGAGCGGCUCGCGACAGGCGCCGUGCUCCGUCCCUCUCUCUGUAAGUGACGGCUG